AUGGCGGGAGCAGAGGCUGCCGCGGAUUCAUCGGGCCCGCGAUUCGCCCCUGACGACCCGACGCUCCCUGCGCCUUGGAAAGCACUAAUCGACGGCGAGACGCUCUACUACUGGAACCCUGAGACGAACCUCACUCAGUAUGACAAGCCGGGUGCGGCCGCGCCUCCCGUGCCGGCGGCUGCGCCAGCGCCAGCGCCCGGGGCUUUUGCGCAGCCUGGCAUGCAGCAGCAGCAGCAGCCACAGCAGCAGCAGACGGCACAGCAACCGCCGUUUCAGUAUCAAGGUCAGCAAGCACAGCAACUGCAGUUUCAGUAUCAGCAGCAGCAGCAGCAGCAGCAGCAGCAAGAACAGAUGCCGAACCAGCAGGGGUCACAACAGCCACUAGCUCCUCAGUACCCAAACGCUCAUCAGCAGCCAAUGCCAUAUCAGCACGGUCAUUAUAUGCAACCCCAGCAGCAAUAUUCAUAUCAGGUAGGCCAGCAGCAACAAAUGCCGCAAACUCAGUAUAAUCAAGGUCAGCAGAUGCCAAUCCCGCAAGCUGCCAAUCAAGGUCAGCAGCCAACGAUGCCACCAGGAGCUUACAAUCAAGGUCAGCGUCCACCGAUGCCGCAAGCUGCCUACAGUCAUGGCCAGCGCCCCCCUAUGCCACAAUCUGCCUACAAUCAAGGCCAGCAGCCACAAAUGCCGCAUGCUUCUUACAAUCAAGGUCAGCAGUUGCAGGGAACAAGGAUGCCUCACACUCAAGUGCAACACGCACAACAAUCACCAGGCUUUCAUCAACCUGCCCAGGCUUCACAAGGGUUGCAAGCUUCACAGCCUCAAGUACCUCAAAUGUCCCCCCAACAGGGCCAACUCCAGCAUGGCUUCCAGUUCACCCCUCAACAGGGAAAACAACCACAUCAUGGUCAUCUUGUCACCCAACAUGGGCAACAAAAUACCACAGCGAAGGUUGAUGCAGGAGCUCAUCCUGAAGGAAAGCAGACUGGCUUUUCCUUACCGCUUAGUCAGCAGCAUGGCCAAGUUCCUCUUUCAAACCAGACGUUGCCUUCUAGUCAUCAACGUCCUGAAGCCCAUAAUCAAGUAAAUAUUCAUGGAGUCGGAGGGCCACCAUAUCCUGCAAAGCAUCAUCUUGGCGGAUCAUCCCCAGGUGAAACUAAUAACGUUAGUUUCUUGAGCGCACCUGCUCAAACACAUCAAGGCGGAGUGGAUACUAAUUACCGGCAACAACUGGCUAGUAGCCAUGUAGUUCCCAAUCAUAUUGCUCCUUCACCAGGUCGACCUCCAAUGGGUUUCAAGAGAGGCAAUAGUGAAGAUCAAUUUGAAAAAAAUGAGCCUCUCUCCUCUGGGAGGUUUGAUGGAAUAAAUGCUCUCCAUCAGCAGCCAAAACUUGCUGCUCUUCCACCCUCACAAAACCACCUGCGGGAUAUGAGGAAUGGCCCACCUUAUUCCCAGCCAGAUAAUUUUGGUGGUUAUAACAUGGCACCUCCACAUUUGGUACAAAACCCACUUAACAAUGGUCCAUUUCCUAUCGGAGCUUUAACGAGGCCACCAUCCGGAACAUUUUCUCCUCCUGAUUUCCCAAGUGUCGCUUCAGUUGAUGCAUAUCGUCAACACCAUGAAGUAACUGCAGUGGGCGAGAAUGUUCCUCCUCCAUUUAUGACAUUUGAGGCUACUGGAUUCCCCCCCGAGAUCCUGAGCGAGGUUCAUGCUGCUGGCUUCUUAAACCCCACCCCAAUUCAGGCUCAAACAUGGCCUGUUGCACUUCAAAGCAGGGACAUAGUAGCUAUUGCGAAGACAGGAUCGGGGAAGACACUGGGGUACCUUAUUCCUGCUUUUGUACAUCUGAGGAGAUGCCAAAACAAUCCAAUGUCGGGUCCUACAGUGUUGGUUUUGGCCCCUACUCGUGAGCUUGCUUCACAAAUACAAGAUGAAGCAAUUAAGUUUGGUCGAUCAUCUAGAGUGUCAUGCACAUGCCUGUAUGGUGGAGCUCCAAAGGGACCUCAGCUCAGAGAACUUGAGCGUGGAGCAGAUAUUGUGGUAGCUACCCCUGGACGACUCAAUGAUAUUCUGGAAAUGAGGAAGAUUAGUCUCCGUCAGAUUUCAUUACUUGUGCUUGAUGAAGCUGACCGCAUGCUUGACAUGGGCUUUGAGCCACAAAUACGGAAGAUUGUGGACGAGAUUCCUCGUAAUAGACAAACUCUGAUGUACACUGCCACUUGGCCAAAGGAGGUUACAAAAAUAGCUGGGGAUUUAUUGAGAAAUCCUGUCCAGAUCAAUAUUGGUAGCAUUGAUGAACUUGUUGCCAACAAAUCCAUCACACAGUAUGUAGAGAUGGUUCCACCCAUGGAUAAGCAGCGUCGCUUGGAGCAGAUUCUUAGAGCUGAAGAAAGGGGCUCAAAGAUCAUCAUAUUUUGCUCAACCAAGAAAAUGUGCGAUCAGCUUGCUCGUAGCAUUGGUCGUAGUUUUGGUGCUGCAAGCAUUCACGGCGACAAAUCACAGGGUGAAAGGGAUCAUAUUCUAGGUCAGUUUCGGGCUGGUAUUGUGCCAGUAUUAGUGGCCACAGAUGUUGCUGCUCGUGGACUUGACAUCAAAGACAUCAGAGUGGUGAUCAAUUAUGACUUCCCAACUGGGAUCGAAGACUAUGUGCAUCGCAUAGGGCGUACAGGAAGGGCUGGGGCUACUGGAGUUGCAUACACUUUCUUCUCUGAGCAAGAUUGGAAAUAUGCUGCUGAUUUGGUGAAAGUCUUGGAUGGUACUGGUCAGCAGGUACCUCCAGAGCUGCAACAGAUGGCUGCACGGGGUGCGUCUGGUGCUCCAAGAAACCAGGCUGGUGGCAUGAGCCGUUGGGAUGGUCCUGGUGGUGGUAGUCGUUUUGAAUCUGCUGUUGGCGGCCCUGGUGGCUAUGGUGGAAUUAGGGAGGGCCCUGGAGGCUUUGGUGGUCGAGAUGGGCCAGGUGGAUUUGUUGAUCGGGAUGGCCCGGGCAGAUUCGGUGAUCGAGAUGGCCCCGGCCGCUUUGGUGGUCGAGAGACUCCUGACGGCUUUGGUGGUCGGGAUGGCCCUGGUGGCUUUGAUGGACGGAUGGGCCCUGGUCCUGGUGGCUUUGGUGGACGGGAAGGGCCUGGUGGAUUUGGUGGAAGGGAGGGGCCUGGUGGAUUUGGUGGAAGGGAGGGGCCUGGUGGAUUUGGUGGAAGGGAGGGUCCUGGACCUAGUGGCUUCAGCGGGAGAGGGGGGCGUGGGUCUGAUGGCUUUGGCAGGAGAGGUGGAGCAAGCCCUGGUAGAUUUGGUGGUCACGGUGGCAGGGGUGAUUCUCCUGGUUUUGGUGGUCGUGGUAGGGGUGAUUCUUCUGGUUUUGGUGGACGAGGCCGGGGUGAUUUCUCUGGUGGACGUGGUGGAAGAGGGCGUGGAUUUGGAGGACGGGGAUGUUCUGACCGAGGUCCACAUGAUCGUUUUAUCUCAGAUGGACGUGGAAGGUAUGAUGGCCGUCGAGGAUUUGACAAGGGUCGAGGCAGUAGCUACAGCCGUAGCCCAGAUAGAAGCCGCUCGCGAGGCUAUGACAGAAGAAGUGAUAGCAGGAGCCUAAGUAGUAGGAGCAGAAGCCGUAGCAGAAGCUGGUCACGCAGCAGGAGUCGCAGCAGGAGUUGGUCGCGGAGCUGCAGCCGUAGUCGCAGCAGGAGCAGAAGCCGUGAUCAGGGUCCAGUAGAACGCAGGCCACGGGUAAGAUCUGGUUUUGAUGUGCUGCCACCUGCAACUGAAGCUGGAGCUGCUGUAACUGGGCCACUUCCUGUACCACUACCUGGUUCAGUGUCUGAUGGUACUGCACCCAUACCUAGACAAUCGCUGGCUGACGCAUCUGAUAUGUCACCUAUGUCGCCUGGUGGCUUGGUCCAUGUCCAGGAGGGUGCACCGUUCAUGGGUGGGAACGAUGCCAACAUUAGCAGCAGACAGGCUGACCAGCCUUCCCAAGCGACUGAUCUAGCAAUACCACCGAGCUUCUCUGCAGCUGCAAAUUUUCCAGGGCCGGCAGUUCAGCAGGAUGCCCCAUGA
rnacentral:rRNA from 1 species